rnacentral:rRNA from 1 species
UACGUAGGGCGCAAGCGUUGUCCGGAAUUAUUGGGCGUAAAGAGCUCGUAGGCGGCCUGUUACGUCUGCUGUGAAAUCCCGGGGCUUAACCCCGGGCGUGCAGUGGAUACGGGCAGGCUGGAGGCGGGCAGGGGAGAACGGAAUUCCCGGUGUAGCGGUGAAAUGCGCAGAUAUCGGGAGGAACACCGGUGGCGAAGGCGGUUCUCUGGGACGGUACUGACGCUGAGACGCGAAAGCGUGGGGAGCGAACAGG